AUUCUCGUGGUGGCUCUCGGCCUCUCAUUUCGUCCGUCACUCCCACAGUCCAGCAGCACCUAUGGCGGCUAGGGUUUGCGUCGGCGGCUAAGAACCAUUGCUGCUCACGCGCCCACGCUCCAUCGCCUCCAUCCCCACUCGCCCAAGCUCCAUUGCCUCCAUCCCCACUCGCUCACAGCUCUGCAUCGCCGGGACGUGUCGGCAGUGGAUCCGGAGCCGGUGACGCGAUCUGCAGCUACGAAGGAGAGAGGUAAAAGGAAGAGGGACGUCUACUUUGACGCGGUGCCGCGGAUGUGGUGGCCGCCAAUGGCUUGAGCGCGCGGGAGCGAGAGAGGGCGACGAGCAGGCCGUAUGCGGGAGCGCCAGCGGAUUGAGCGAGCGACAGAGGGAGGAGGGCCUGUGGGCCUUUGCCUAGCGACAUCGGCAGUCCGCCUGCAGCCGCGGAUUCUGCCUGCGGCUGCGUCUCUGGCUCUCGCCCCGACCGACUUUUUCAAGGGAGGAGCGGCUGCAAGCAGCGGCAGCGCAUAAAGAAGUCGUUAUCUUGAACGUGCAUCGGUAGAUUGCGCGUGGGAGCGGGAGAGGGCGACGAGCAAGCCGUAUGCGGGAGCGCCAGUGGCUUGAGCGACCAGAAGCUCGUGCUCGGCGAGUGGAAUUUUGAUCAGCAGACGACACUGCUCCCUGACACUAGGAUUUCGCUCAGAACAGAAGCUACCACGCGCGCAGGUGCCUGAGCAGCAAAGCGUGCACUGGCCAUGCAUGCAUGUCCAUCACACCCUGGCCAGUGCCCACCCUCCACGCCGGCCAUGUAGCGGAGCCCAGCAUGGCGGCUGACAAUGGAUCUCGACGAACGAUGGCAUCCCGCGUGGCGACGAUCAUAUAUCGAGGGCAUGCAUGCAUGGUGGGCACCCGAUCAACGUCACGGCCGCUGGCGCCUGGCGGCGUCGCAUCAUUCUACGACUACGCAUAGUGCGCGUGUCGCUGGUGGCAUCUUGUUGUCUACAUGCAUGUGUCUUCGGGCCGGCGGCGACCCCACGACGGAGACGGCGACGAUAGAUACAUGAGUGCAUGAUGAUACCACCCAAAUUAAAAGAGAGGCAAAGGCGAGGUGCGGACAGCGCUGCAGGGGAUAGCUAGCUAGCUAGGCAGCCGCGUCAUCCAUCACUACUGCACAAAGCGGCGUUAAUUAGGGACCGAUUAUUAGUAGUCGAUUUCCAACUGAUAUUGUAUAACUAGAACUAAAAAUAUUUUAGUCUUUUAUUGUAUAUGAUGAGUACACCGA